rnacentral:rRNA from 1 species
GACGAACGCUGGCGGCGUGCCUAAUACAUGCAAGUUGAGCGAUGAAGCUUGGUGCUUGCACCAAUUUGAAGAGCAGCGAACGGGUGAGUAACGCGUGGGGAAUCUGCCUUUGAGCGGGGGACAACAUUUGGAAACGAAUGCUAAUACCGCAUAAUAACUUUAAACAUAAGUUUUAAGUUUGAAAGAUGCAAUUGCAUCACUCAAAGAUGAUCCCGCGUUGUAUUAGCUAGUUGGUGAGGUAAAGGCUCACCAAGGCGAUGAUACAUAGCCGACCUGAGAGGGUGAUCGGCCACAUUGGGACUGAGACACGGCCCAAACUCCUACGGGAGGCAGCAGUAGGGAAUCUUCGGCAAUGGACGAAAGUCUGACCGAGCAACGCCGCGUGAGUGAAGAAGGUUGUCGGAUCGGAAAACUCUGUUGGUAGAGAAGAACGUUGGUGAGAGUGGAAAGCUCAUCAAGUGACGGUAACUACCCAGAAAGGGACGGCUAACUAC